GACGAACGCUGGCGGCGUGCUUAACACAUGCAAGUCGAACGGAAAGGCCCUGCUUGCAGGGUACUCGAGUGGCGAACGGGUGAGUAACACGUGGGUGAUCUGCCCUGCACUUCGGGAUAAGCCUGGGAAACUGGGUCUAAUACCUGAUAGGAGCCAUUUUUAGUGUGAUGGUUGGAAAGUUUUUUCGGUGUAGGAUGAGCUCGCGGCCUAUCAGCUUGUUGGUGGGGUAAUGGCCUACCAAGGCGGCGACGGGUAGCCGGCCUGAGAGGGUGGACGGCCACAUUGGGACUGAGAGGCGGCCCAGACUCCUACGGGAGGCAGCAGUGGGGAAUAUUGCACAAGGGGCGCAAGCCUGAUGCAGCGACGCCGCGUGGGGGAUGACGGCCUUCGGGUUGUAAACUCCUUUCGCUAGGGACGAAGCUUUUUGUGACGGUACCUAGAUAAGAAGCACCGGCUAACUACGUG
rnacentral:rRNA from 1 species